AUUGAACGCUGGCGGCAUGCUUUACACAUGCAAGUCGAACGGUAACAGGCCUUCGGGUGCUGACGAGUGGCGAACGGGUGAGUAAUGCAUCGGAACGUACCCAGAGGUGGGGGAUAACGCAGCGAAAGCUGUGCUAAUACCGCAUGUGAUCUGAGGAUGAAAGCGGGGGACCGAGCAGCAAUGUUUGGCCUCGCGCCUUUGGAGCGGCCGAUGUCGGAUUAGCUAGUUGGUGGGGUAAAGGCCUACCAAGGCGACGAUCCGUAGCUGGUCUGAGAGGACGACCAGCCACACUGGGACUGAGACACGGCCCAGACUCCUACGGGAGGCAGCAGUGGGGAAUUCUGGACAAUGGGCGCAAGCCUGAUCCAGCAAUGCCGCGUGCGGGAAGAAGGCCUUCGGGUUGUAAACCGCUUUUGGCAGGAACGAAACGGUGUCCGCUAAUACCGGGCGCUAAUGACGGUACCUGCAGAAUAAGCACCGGCUAACUACGUG
rnacentral:rRNA from 1 species